rnacentral:rRNA from 1 species
CCCUGGCGGCAGUCUAACACAUGACACGCUCGAACGAGAAGCUCCUUCGGGAGUGGAGAGUGGCGCACGGGUGAGUAUCGCGUGGAUAACGUACCUUUCGGCGGGGGACAACUCGGGGAAACCUGAGCUAAUACCGCAUACGUUUGUCGGGUCUUCGGGCCUGAUAAAGAAAGCAGGGCAACUUGCACCGGAAGAUCGGUCCGCGUUCCAUCAGCUUGUUGGUGAGGUAACGGCUCACCAAGGCGACGACGGAUAGCUGGUCUGAGAGGAUGAUCAGCCACACUGGGACUGAGACACGGCCCAGACUCCUACGGGAGGCAGCAGUGGGGAAUAUUGGACAAUGGGCGCAAGCCUGAUCCAGCAAUGCCGUGUGUGUGAUGAAGGCCCUAGGGUUGUAAAGCACUGUCAGUAGGGACGAAUUGCUUCGGGUAACGCCGAAGAGUGACGGUACCUACAGAGGAAGGACCGGCUAACUCCGUGCCAGCAGCCGCGGUAAUACGGAGGGUCCAAGCGUUGUUCGGAAUCACUGGGCGUAAAGCGCGUGUAGGCGGUUUCGUCAGUCGGAUGUGAAAUCCCGGGGCUCAACCCCGGACGUGCAUCCGAUACUGCGAAACUAGAAUCCCGGAGGGGGUGGCGG